rnacentral:misc_RNA from 1 species
AAAUAAACAGCGGACAUACAUUGGAUAUGUUUGAUAUUUUGUAGUGAUCCCUAAUCAAUAUUUGUUGCAUCUUUGGAGCGGAAUCUGCUACGUUUCAAUUGUUGAAGAAAUAUUAGAUUUCCAAUUAUCUUGUAAUUUCCAUUUGUAGAUCAACUUAAAAUGCUUAAAAGAGAGUCUCCAUUUAUUUUUAUUAUAAAUAAUGGAGGCCAGGAAAUUUGGAAUUACAUUGAGGAUGAAGAAAAGAUAGUGUGCCGGGUUUGUAAUUAUACUUGUCCUUUUAGGCCCCCUUCUAGAAUUAAAAAACACUUGCUAUCCCCCUCGCACAUCCAGAGCGUGAAAAUAUACAAAAGUAAUCCAAUUAACAAUAGUGUUGAAUGUCCCAACAGCAACUUCUAUUCCGAUCUCACAACGAUGCUUGUUACGUGCAACAUACCACAUUCCACCGUCGAACAUCCAAACUUUUCAAAAUUCGUGGAGAAAUAUGUUGGUAAAAAACUUCCUUGCCGAAAUAGCAUGAACAGAUUAGUUAAUUUAGUCAGUAAGAAUGUUAUCACCAAAAUUAAAAAGGAUGUAGAAGAGAAAGAUCUUUUCAUCGCUGUGAAUGAAACUAAAGAAAAUCAGGAUCAAUCAAUAUCUGCAAUAAUGAUUGGUCCUAUAGACACCUAUUUCCAGACUCGCCCUUAUCUCGUCAACCUAACAGAUAUCACACUUGACUAUGCCGACAACAUUGCAGAGUUUGUGCUCCAAAGUAUACUAUUAAUUUUGGGUGAGGACUUUGACCAAGCUAGGCUUAAGGUAUUCAUUACAGAUGGUACUCCAUGUAGUAAAAGAGCAGGAGAAGAUCUCCAGAGACUCUAUCCCCAACUGGAACAUAUCACCUGUGUGCCUGAAGAAUCCUUUAAUACAACUGAACUUGCCCUGAAUAAUCUACCUCCGACAAAUGAACUUAUUGCCGAAUUGAAAAAAACUUUUUUGAAGGCUGGGCAAAGUAAACAGAGUUUGAUAACUAUGAUGGAAGCUCUCCACACCCAAUCAAGAUCAAGGCUCACAGUAAAUAGUCUUAGAGAUAUGCUCGUUAUUAAAUGGAACUCGACGUUUAGUGAUUUGUGAGAAUCACAUGAGAACCAUCAUUUAGAAGUAAUUAGUUUAUUCACGUGAAUACUUGGGAUCAGCCAAUGCUCAUCAUCUCCAAGUAAACUACAUGAAGCUAUCUGAUGGUCUCAAAAGGAAUCUUCGAAUGGUUAGCAAGUUGUUCAUCCUAUUAUGUUGAUAUUUUAACUCCUAUACUUCGUUCUAUUAAUAGGACUAUAAGAUACCUUUUGCAUUUUCAAUUUUUAUUAGUCACUGAGAGACAGAGUUUUAUGUACAAUUUAUUCAUUGAAUUAAAGUUGAAACACUUA